AGCUGCUCCCGGGAGCCUCCGCGAACUGGAUCUCAGGAUGGGGGGCAGAAAAACUGGACUCACCCUUCCACUCAGGAAUGUGAAGACUUCCUUCAGGAGUUCGACUGUUUCUAAGUUGUCUCCACUGGGGAAGUCGGCUGUGCAGACAACUCAACAGAAGCAAAGGCUAAAGGAAGACAAAAACCAAUUCCAGUAUUUUCUCUGAGUGUAAGGAAAUAAGACUUGAAAAAACCAGUGAUCGACUGAACAGGAAUGGAAGGAAAUUCUGGCACUCCAGCUUAAUGGAAUACAAGAGAGAGAGAGAACAAGCAAGGGGAACGACAGGCA